AAACAAACGACAAAAACUAAAUUUUCCGAUUAUGCCUUUGUAUUAUGAAAAACCUGUUACGUAUUACAGUCAACGUGGAGAAAAUGCACAUUUAACUAAAUGACAUAGCUAAGGGAUAGAGUUUUAAAAUGCCACCAAUAAUAUCUUUGAUCAUGUUGAUGGUGAUAACAGUUUAUAUAGAAAUGGUGCCAGGCAUUCUGAAUGAUAUAGUCCCAGUAAGUGUUCAAAAAGGAGAAAAAGUUGUCUUGAAAUGUUGCGGCUCUGAAGAUGAAUGGACUUGGUUAGGACCAGAUACCAACAAUAUAUCGCAAAUCCAUGUAGUCUACUUUUCAAAUAAUCUAAAAAAUCCGAAACUGAACCAGUCAAAGUACCUCGUUGAGAAAAAUGACAGAAACUAUGAUUUAAUCAUCCUGAAUUUUCAAAACGAGAAUACUGGUGUUUAUGUAUGCAGAUUUUUAAAUAAUGGAGCAUUUCAUGAGACUAAGUUUAACGUCUCUUUGAAAGAUACGUCACCAAGCAGUACAAUAAUAUACGGCGAAGGAAGGAAUACUGUUCUAAAUACUACUAACGAUUGGGAAAAAAACGCAACUCAAAAUAUAGAAGGUGGUAUAAGAUACGAUAUAUCAUGAAACCGUUUCCUGGCAUUUUACAUUAAAAAAAAGUUACUAUGAAAUCGUAUGCAACUCAAUUAUAUCAAACAAUAUAUGUAGGCAAUUUCAACACAUUAAAGUAUCGAGUAUGAUGUCGUAAAAAAUUUCAUCUGUUCAUGUGUAUAUCUAAUCAAAUAUACAGUUUGACUUAAUCCAAUUGAUUUUCUGGGAGCCCAAAUGUAAAAAAAAAAAAACAAUCCAAAGAGGUUUAUCGAAAAACUUGGUUAACACGGUAUUGUGUGAUCACAAUAAAUUAUAAUCGCUGUUCUCUAUUUUUGUCCUAAAUCUGUUUGGAUGCAGAUACGUUUAAUUGACAUCGAAACUGCAGUGUUUGGCAUGUUUAGAAUGUAAACUCAAUUAAAAUGUUUGAUAAAAAAAGAUAUUUCGGCAAAAAAAGUCUUCUUAUCAACUGAGUAUUGGUAUUGGUGUGUUUGGUGAGCUUUUGUUUUUUCCAUUUGUUAAGGGGUUUUCCGUUUUGAAUUUUUCUUAAAGUUCAGUACUUUUGUGAUUUUACUUUAUAUGAUUAAAAUGUUCACGUAAUUUUCUUUCAGAUAAUCCUUGUACAUGUAAUUCGACACUGCAUAAUGAAUUUUGGAAGGUAUCAGGCGGUUUUUUAGGAGGAAUUAUUGUAUGUCUAAUCUGUUCAAAUAUUUAUUGUUACAUGAAACUUAAGAAAGCAUCAAAGGAUAUAUCCGAAGUUCAAAGGGAAGGCCAGUAUGAUGAAAUAGGCUCCAUUAACUAUAAUGUUGUUAGUAUAGAAACCUUGGGUGACAAUACAAGAUAUCGAACGUCUGUAAUGAAUUCCUCUGGGACAAACAUUGAUACAAGUUCUACCAAAUCACCAACUUUAAGCUACAGUUCUACCAAUGAUUCAUUAUCAAGGAAAACAGAAGGUUCUGAAAAUACAUACGAAUCAAUAAACCUAGAUCAAAAUCAUACUCAGGAACAUAGAAAGAGUGCUGGAAACACCAUACCAUCACCUUGUUUCUAUGACAUUGAUACACGUUCAACCAAAUCAACAACUUUAAGCUUCAGUUCUACCAAUGAUUUAUUAUCAAGGAAAACAGAUGGAUCUGAAAAUACAUACGAACCAAUAAACCUAGAUCAAAAUCAUAUUCAUGAAUUUAAAACAUGUAACGUUAUCACCACAACUUUAACUAGCGUAUAUGAAAAUACUGUGGUUUUUCCUAAUAAUAGUUACAAGAAGAAAGAUGACCUGGAUAAUAAAACCCCAUGGCUUUGUAUCUACAAUCGCAUAGAAAAUUAAAUAUGAGUUAAUAUAAAACAAUAACAUGUACACAAAAAAGGAAGGAAGCAUAUUAUGUAAAUUUAUCAUUUUUAUGUUCAUAAUGGCGAAUCAAAAUGGGAUUUCUAGAAGUGGAGAACCGAUAAAAAGGGGAACUUUUGUUUAUAUUAUAUAUGUUGUUUUCAUACAGAAAAUUUAUAUUUCUCAAUCAUUUGAGAUUCCGAACACUUUUUUAUUCAAUAGAUACAGCUUGUACUACAGGUGAGGUGGUCGCUAUAAAACAGCCACACAGUUUACACGUGUACAACUGUCAUACAAGUUGGUGGGCUAGCUAGCUAUAAAACCUACAAGUUCUUUCAGAAAAUGCCUGUACCAAUUAAUUCAGGAAUACUGCAGUUGUUUUUCAUUUGUUCUGUUGAUCAAUGUUGAUUCAUAGCGUUUGAUUUUGUCAUUUUAUACGAACUUCCUCAUUUUUGGAAUUUGCUUUGGAGUUCAGUAUUUUUGUAAUAUUUUAUAAUGACAAUGCAUUUUUUACGAGCUUACAACUGUUGGUCGAGUAAGAAACAUUAGUAGUUUAUCGAUGUGCACAUCUUAUAAAUCUUUUAAAAAUAAAAAAACCAAGAUUAAAUGUACACCUCACAGGAAUCUCCUUGGCACAACUGAUUACAUUUAUUGAUGCCAGGUCUGAUCAAUUUAGAUCCAGUUAUGUUCCUUUAUUAGUAGAUCUUUUUAUACAUGUGUUACAAUAUAGUUCUCAAGAUAUCUACCAAAAAGGCAGACACAUGGUAAGAAUGGUAAUAAAACGGCAAAAAAAUCAAAAUUUCCGUGAAAGGCGUAAGUUUCCCAAUAAAAUGUUACAGAGAAACAGCGCAGGCUGUAUGACAUGCCAGAUGCAUUAGAGAAUAGUGUACGGUGCAUAAGGAAUAUUGUCUGUAUAAUUUCGAUUUGUUUUAUAAAAGAUUUAUUGAAAUUCACAAUUCCCCCAUAUACGUUUAAUGACAUUGAAGUUUCUUAUCAUUUUACAAUGUGUUACUUUUACAACAGCACAUAUGAAACCACUGUAUCCUUAUGUAAAAUGCAUCUUUUAAUAAUUGAAUGUAAAACUAUAGAUUUUUUUCUGCAUAUUAGGAUCUUUCUAGCCCAAAACCAGGAAAUUUAACACGGUUCUGAUUUAGGUAUGAAACCAAAAAGAUUGUAUAAAAACAAAAAUACAAAAAUGCUAAAUACAAGACAAAAUACAAAACAACACAAGACAUUAUCAAAUGUAUGCAUCAACAAACGAUAAAAGGACAAAUGUUCCCUCCAAACUGCUCACCUGUUUUAUGCCCAAUUUAAUCCAAUACUUCAUUGUCACCUGUUUUAACUUCUUAAAAUCUGCCCUUGUUCGGAAACCAUUUUAUUCGUUCUCCGUCCUUAACAAAAAUUUUAAGAAUUGUCUUAAAAUUGUCCGUUAAUAAAAAAUGUUGAAAUUAUUAGAAACUAAAGUUUUAACCAACUCAAGCAAAGUUGACCUAAAAUAUAUUUUGCUAUUUUGCUUAGUUACUUUUAUGAUAAUGUAGCUCUUCAACUGUUUAGGAUUCUAUACAUCCAUAAAAUCCUUGGCUUUCAAAUAUUCGGCUUUGAGUGUUCCUGAUGAAGGAAGAUCCAGAAAAGCCAUCCAGACGCAGGAAAUUUAUAUGUUGUUUCAUUUUUUUCUUAAUUCAAAAUUCCCCUCUUAGGUUCCUUAGAAUGAAUCAUAACUGCCAUAUAUGUGACGAAAUUGCCCUAGGUCAUAAAAUCUUGGAUGCUUUUACAGAAAAAAUACAAAUCAGCUUUUAAUAUACAGUAUUGAUAAUUUAUAUUAUAAUAUAUCAAACAUUUGACGGACAUGGAAUUUGGUUACACAACAUUCAUCACCUUUUUCUAGUUUGUUAAUUUUUGGUUUAUUGAAGGACAGUUAGUAGAUGUAAAACAAACAAAAUUUCUAUUUUCAAAUAACUCAAAUAUCUUUAUUGUAAUAAAACGAUUCUAUAUUUGUAUGAUUGUCGUUUGUUUGCUUGCUAGACAUAACAUGUUUGUCACAACAUUAAUACAAAGCAACCAGUCAAAGUAAUUUUCAUAAUUUGCCAUCAAAGGGAUGCUAUUUUUGUUAUCAGUUGUUCAUUUUUUGGUUUUCAAUAGAAGUCACCAUACGGCCUUGAACAACCAAAAACCAACGGCCUGAUUAAUGCAGAAAAUAAUAAAGAAAAACCAGUACAAUAACAAUAUAACAAUUGUAGGGAUUUUAUUUUUACAUCUAUUGAACUUAAAAACUUCCCAUUGUUAACCUGUCUCUCUCGGAAGUUGUACGGGUCAAUGAUGUCACAAAAUUACCAAUACACGGAAAUUAAUUACUGUAAUUAUGUAUAAAAUCGAGUACAAAUUAAACCUCACCUUGAAUCUGCCAUUACAAUUGAAAAAAGGUAAAUAUUAUGAUUUAAUGUGUGUGCAACCAACGAGAGGAGGAUACCUUGAUGGCAUAGUGGAUAGUGUUGGAAAAUGUCGCCAGUAUUUAUUUUGAUGGCAAUAACAUUUCAUUUGCAAAUAGUUUCAGGCAUUGGAAAUGGUAAUGGUAUAGUCACAGUCAGGGUUCAAAGAGGAGAACGAGUAAUAUUGAAAUGUUUAAGCUCCGGAGUUAUGAGAAGUUGGUUAGGACCAGAUUUCAGCAAUUUAACAAACGAACAAGCAUUGAUUUAUUUUUCAAAUUAUCUCAAAAACCCGAAACUGAGCAUGUAUAAAUAUUCCGUGAAGGCAAAAAAUGGAAACUAUGACUUGACUAUUUUCAAUUUCCAAAAGGUCGAUACCGGGUUUUAUAGUUGCAGAUGUUUCAAUGACCAUGAUAACGGAACAUUUAAUGAAACUAAGUAUAACGUUUCAUUAUUAGAUGAAGGCGUUGAAACAAGUAGAAUCGGAUAUGAAAGAAGAAGGGAUUUAGGACACACACCAGGCAUUCAAGUAAAUGUCAAGGAAACAGGUUCUCAAUCACCAGCCAACCAAAGACAUGCAAAACCUAACUCUAAAUUAACGAUAACUUUGAUCGUUGCUUUUCUGCUUGGGAUAUCAAUGACAAUUCUUGGAUUCAUUGCUCGAAGGAAAUGGGGAACUUUAGGUACCAAAAUGAAUUCCUUCGUUGUGUCAUUCAGAAGAGAUGCAGAAAGGAAUAAUUUAACUGAAGAUACUGCAGAACAGCCUGAUCUCAUUGAUGAACCAGCUGAGCAAUCCGAUGGAUUGAAAUAUGUGGAGGUGUUGAUGGAACCACUUGCAGCCAGGCAAACCAGAAUUCGAGGAAUAGAAAACAGAAUAAUGUAUACAGAAAUUGAUCAGUCAUUAAAGGCAUAAGCAGGACAACCAGACACUUACGAAAAAUAUAGCGGAUUGUUUUCAUAUAAUUAAUGUUAGAACAAGAAAUGAUGUUUAUUCUUAAUAUUUGAACACUUUCGCUAAAUUUGUAUUUUUCAGUGUUUUGUUAGGAAUAUUAUACACACUGCUCAUCCUUCCGGAGCACCUGAGAUCACCCCCGGUUUUUGGUGGGGUUCGUGAAGAUCAGUCUGUAGUUUUCUAUGUUGCGUUUUGUGUACAUUUGUUUAUCUUUUGAUCUUUUCCUUUUUUGCCAUGGCGUGGCAGUUUAUUUUCGACUUACAUGUAUGAGUUUGAAUGUGCCUUUGGUAUCUGUCGCCUCUCUUUAACAAAAUCUGCAAGACAUUAUAUUACUUGAUCAAAUUAUUACUUACAUCUAAUUAACUAAGGAAAAGAAACCCCAUUGAUGAAAAAUAUUUCUGGUUUAGAAAAAAGAACCAAUUAAGAAAUGAAAAUUACGCAUUUAGUAAUAUUAGACGUCCUUAAAUAAAAUCCUGAAUAUAUUCGGCGGCAAUAGUUACAAAAAAGUGUAACCAAUGUCAUAUUUAAUAUUUUUGAUAAUACUUUCAAAGAUGAAGAAAGCUUUAAAGAUUUCAAACCAAGAACAAACAAAAGUAUUAGGAGACAAGAACUGCAAAAAGUAAAAUAAAAAAAAAUAUUUGGUUUGCGUUUAUUGUUUUGUACAUAAUUCAGGGUAUUAGUGUUCUCUUUUGAAUUGUUUUGCAAUUGUCAUUUCAAGGCCGUGUAUUGCUUGCUUUAUGAUAUAGGUUUUGCUCAUUGUUGAAGGCCUUAUCUUGACCUAUAGUUGAUAAAUUUUACUUCAUGUGGUCUCCAGUGGAAUUUUGUCUCAUUGGCAAUCAUACCAUAUCUUCUUAUUUUAUAUAUGUCUUGUUCGCUUUAUUUACAACUAUCCAUCACAUCAUUGAUAACUUUGUUACUAUUCACAAUUUACACGGGCAUGGGUGGUGGGGUUGGUGUGUUGCUCUUCCUAUGUGAGUAUAAACACUAAUUUGAGCUGAAAUUAGACAAUUUCUAUAUAUGUCAAAUAUAUCAAUGUGUACAAUUUAAUCACGGUACAUGUAAUAAACUAAAGGGUAGUAAUUGGUGUAUUGACGGAUUAGAAUUUUUCAUUUUCCAAUCAUAUCCGUGUAUAUUUUGUG